GGGGCUGCGGGGCGCCGCCUCCCGCCUUCUGCCCGCCGCACCUGGUGCGGGCCCCCGCACCCCCUUGGCAUGGGGCGGAGCGGCUUUACGGCCGCACGGCCGGAGCGAGCCCCGGCCGCGGUGCUGCGAGGAGGGACGAGACCUCGCCCAGCCGCCCCGGCGGGGAGCGGGCGAGCAGCGCUUUGCCCCUGCUGGGCGGGGGCCCACCGCCUGAGGCCGGCGCAGCGGUCCCGCCGCCGGUCCCCGCGGCGGCGCUGAGGGGGCCGCGCCCGGGCUAGGCAGUUCUGGUCCACAGCCGAGUGUUGUGAGCGCGUCUCAAAACUGAGAGGCCGGGCACGAAGUACUGGCUUAAAGCAGGCCGUUGCGAUAGAAACCUCCGAUUUUAGUUUCGGGUUUGGGUUUGCUUUUCCUGGCUCAGAGAGCUAAAAGAGGAAAAUCCCCACUUCUGUGAGGUGUUUGCAGAUGUCAGGGAACUAUCAGUAUUUUCUGAAGUGCCCGUGAACCGUGUUGCCUCCGUCUCUUACUGAGCUGAGAAGCAGAUGGUAUUCUUGGGGCGAGCGGGGAUCAGGGUGCGCUGCAGCGUUUGCUGUCACCUCCAGUGACGGAGUCUUUCACCACCUUUUCAUCCCAAUUUAAAAAGUGCCCACUAUUUUUUUUUUUUUUUUUGUAGCUUAGUUUAUUGCAAGUUUAUUUAUUACAGGGGGCUCUAAUUCUAGUAAAUCAAAAUUUAGCGACGGUAUCUAGACAAAAAAACUGAGGUAAACCGUUCUGAUCAGAGAUCCUCAAGAGUCUCACAAGUUUACAACUGUACCUCUUAAUGUUCAGGUACGAACUUUCAAAUUGGAACAAGGAGGUAUGGACUUGCAACUUGGCUAAAUUAAUUCUGCUUCCUGACAGAAAUCACAAUUUGUACUGGAAAUUUUUCAAAUAGCCUUGAAGUUCCUAAAAAAAAAAAAAAAAAAAAAAAAAGGGGAGUCUUUCUCUUAAAUUAGUAAAUUUUAGUAGGCCAGAAUGGCUCAGAAUAGCAAUGUCCUUCCCUUAAAUUCCCAUCAUUUACAAAGGGAAAAAGACUGAAUUUUAACAGGGACCAUCUGAAAUCAGGCAUCCUCCGUUUUCAAGACCCUUCUGUUUAGGGAUUUCAGUGUUGUGGUUUCACUUAGGUCUUUACUUAGGUGAAGCAAGGUGAACACCGCUUCAAAACUACUCCACAUGGCAGAAGAAUUACCUAAUAAUCUAGCUUCAUUUACAGCUUCUUUUCGUACAGUAAUACAAAAAAUAUUUUUCCACCUAGUUUACCUUAUGAGGUAAGCUAAGUCUUCUAAGUCGUGUUCAUGUUGUAACAAGCUUAUUUUUCCGCUGUGAUUAAAAAUUCUGCAGGAUUGUGCUGUCUUAUCCAGAGCAGCAACAAUUACACCUCCCCACUUACCGGUACGUGUGGAAAUAGUUGUCUGGUAAAGCCAAGAUACAUACUCGGUCUUCAGAAGGUGCAGUGCUGCUCUACAAGAUCUAGCGUAUGAGAUACAUAGACAUGUGUCUCCAGUUCUUUUUGUCUGUGUUUUCAAUAAAGUGUUUUAAACAUAAUUGUUAUUAGCCUUUAAGUGUCAGAAAACUUAUUUUUCUUGAUUUCUGUUUUAGAAAAUAUUAAUUUGCAUUGGAGUCAGCAAGAUAUAUUAACACAUCCAAGUCUAUUUCUGGGAUUAUUCACAAGCUAAUGACUAGGAGUAUUCUUACAUAGCUGCUGGAUUUGGAUCCUCACAGAUUCACUGUGACAGGAAGUUACUACUUUUAUGAAAGUGCGCUGGGAAAAUACAGCACACAACUUCUGAGGAUUUCAGGUGUAUUCCACGUCAAAUUUAUUCCUAAUUUGCAAGUCCAUUUGUGGGACAAAAGAGUGAUUAAUCUACCAGAAAUGGUGUACCUCAAACAAAAUUCUUUGUUGCUUGUAACACACUCUGUAAAUAAAGGCUAUUAAAAUGA